ensembl:Y_RNA Y_RNA Y RNA
GGCUGGUCCAAAGGUAGUAAGUUAUCUCAAUUGAUUGUUCAGUGAGUUACAGAUUGAACUCCUUGUUCUGCUCUUUACCUGCUUCUCACUACUGCACUUGACUAGUCUUUC